rfam:Burkholderia glathei strain DSM 50014 contig34, whole genome shotgun sequence.
UGUCUCCUCCAUGUCUCCACUGAUAUGGAUUCAGCCCGCCAGCUUGGCGGGCUUUUUUUU